CUCCCUCUCAUCCUCUCAACCUCUCGCCUCUCACCCUUUCAACUUUCAACUCUCACCCUCUGCAUCUUGCCUCUCUCACUCUCUGCAAGCUUCGCAUCCUCUUUACUCUUUAGUCAUUAAAAAAAUCUUUAAUCUCUCAGAUUGUUUUGGGUCUACAUGAACGAUUCUUGGGUGAUUUGUUGUGAUAUAAGAUUUUCUUUGGUCUACAUAACCAUUCUUUAUUUUUUUUUUUUGGGUAAUUUGAGGAAAGAAUGGGGCCCAGGAUGGAGAACAUAGGGAGGUCCAUAAAGCUGAUUCAGAGGCAGAGGCAUUUUGAGAUUACAUGUAUGUGGUGCUGGCACCCUAUACAUGCUCAUUCUUUGAAAGAGUUGAAUAUUCAACUGGAUAGGUGUCGCCGUCUUCAUGGGAACCCUCGUCAUCCUGCUGAUCGUCCUGGCCAAUCCCCUGCUGACGUGCCCAACCCCUGUGCUGAGGCUGCUGAGGUGGAGAGGAUCAUCAAUUGUAAAUUCUAAUAGAGCAUAGAGCAGGAAUGUCAUUUGCUGAGGUUGCUGAGGUGGCUGAGAUAAAAUGGCUUCUAAAUUCUAAUAGAGCAUAGAGCAUACAGCAGGAAUGUCAAUUUGCUGAGGUUGCUGAGGUGGCUGAGAUAAAAUGGCUUGUAAAUUCUAAUAGAGCAUAGAGCAUAGAGCAGGAAUGCCUGAUGGCUUGUAAUAGAGAUCCAUUUUAACUAAGAUUCAUUGGACGAGAAAUGCAUAUAUAGCAACUUACUAAAAAAAACAAUGUUUGGUACCCAUUUGGAUUGAUUUAAAUUGAGUAGUUAUUCAAUGGGCUCUAGCAGGACUGGUGUUUAGAACUGUAGUUGAUCUAUUUCGUCCUGUUAAUACCUAUGAUAUCAAAUGUUUUAUUUGACA